CGUGCAGCGCCUCGCGCGGCGGUUUAAAAAAGGGCGGUCUCUGCCGCGUGGCGGCCGUUGGAGGAGCACGCGGCGGGCGUGAGGGGGCAAGGAGCGGGGCGUUCCGUGGCCUGGGGCGUUCCGUGGCCUGGGGCGUUCCGUGGCCCGGGGCGUUCCGUGGCCCGCGGGCAGCAGACGGUGGAAAAGGACCGGGCGCUGCCUGGCUUAGGUACAGCUAGGGUGGCAGAGAUACUCUGGAGAGAGCUGUAGUUUUGGUGCUGGGGGCUCGUGUGCGUGGAGGAAGGCGCACGGAGCCGAGGAGUCGCUGGCAGCGUGGGAAAGCGAUUGCAAAGAGAAGAGGUCUGGAGCAUAAGUUUACUUCUCACUCUUGUCUGAACCAUGAAGAGUGGAGAAACAGAAGAAGUUUUGUAAGCAGUUCCCACCAUUUCUACUGGACUUUACGAUUUCAAUACUGCUGGAAGAUUCAGACAAAAAAAACCCUAAAAUCACGGACAAAAUUGAAGGUAA